GGGUGGAGACCGUGCUCGUCCGGCCCUCUUGCCUCACGUUCUGCAGCUCUGCAGCUCCGCAAUCCUACACCAUGGCGGACAGCCGGGACCCAGCCAGCGACCAGAUGAAGCAGUGGAAGGAGCAGCGGGCCCCUCAGAUCUGUACGCAUUGCUGUUGGGGAAGUACACGAGCCUGUGCCUUCAGCAUCAUUCAUGGCGACAGGCAGAACUCACAACAUUCAACGAUUAAAUAAAAGCAUUUUUACAACCAUUAUUUCA
rnacentral:lncRNA from 1 species